AUCAAAUGCAUAUACAUAUAACAUGAUAUAACUAAAUAAUAAUGUUUAGGUUAUGGAUAAUAUAAACCCUUCAAUAACGCCCAUCACUAUUACAAGUUCCAAACCGACCCAACUGGAGAAGAGCGAGAGACAGGGAAGAAUUCUCUUUUAUGGUUGUACAAGGUUAUUGUUUGUAUCAUCUUCAGAGCCAGCUGAAUAGUGGUCACAUCUUACAACCUUCGUUCCAAGUUUUGUCUUUCUGCAAUUAUGGGCUGAGAGGAAGACAAUUUCUUUGAUCUCUAAAGG